rnacentral:rRNA from 1 species
CUUUGCUGGCGACCGGCGCACGGGUGAGUAACACGUAUCCAACCUGCCCUUUACUCGGGGAUAGCCUUUCGAAAGAAAGAUUAAUACCCGAUAGCAUAAUGAUUCCGCAUGGUUUCAUUAUUAAAGGAUUCCGGUAAAGGAUGGGGAUGCGUUCCAUUAGGUUGUUGGUGAGGUAACGGCUCACCAAGCCUUCGAUGGAUAGGGGUUCUGAGAGGAAGGUCCCCCCACAUUGGAACUGAGACACGGUCCAAACUCCUACGGGAGGCAGCAUG